GCAAACUUGGUCAUUUAGAGGAAGUAAAAGUCGUAACAAGGUUUCCGUAGGUGAACCUGCGGAAGGAUCAUUAUUGAAAAACUUGGUGGGUUGUAGCUGGCUCUUCGGAGCAUGUGCACGCUCAUCAUCUUUAUCCACCCACCUGUGCACAAUCUGUAGUUUUGUAGGAGAUGAGAGGGACUGACUUUCUACUACUCGACAUCUGUCGGACGUGGAGAAUGCUAUGUGAAAGCAUUGCUAUCUUCAACAAUUAAGUUUCAGUCAUUUGACUUUCCUAUGAAGCUAUGUGUUUUUCAUAUACUACAUAGUAUGUUGCAGAAUGUAUUCAUGGGCCUUUGUGCCUAUAAAAACUAUAUACAACUUUCAGCAACGGAUCUCUUGGCUCUCGCAUCGAUGAAGAACGCAGC
rnacentral:misc_RNA from 1 species